GGACGAAGGAGGCAAUGCAUCACCGAAACCAUAAGAAUCUAUAUUGGUGGUUUAGGUGAAAGUGUGACAGCACUCAAACUUUUCACCAUGUAUAAUGGCAGGAGGGUUAGAAUAGAGGAGGCAAAGGAACACUUUUUUCUUCUUUUGAAAUGUGAGUGAGAAUGCUACAUAAAAUCACUUUAUCUUAGGGGAACUGGUAAGCAUAAAUACAGUUUUCAGCGAGUUGAAGUUCCUUCUUUACUUAUCCAUUUUUGUGAAUGUGAAUAGAACUCUGGUACUACCUAUACAGACAAGCAAA
rnacentral:misc_RNA from 1 species